CGAACGCUGGCGGCAGGCCUAACACAUGCAAGUCGAGCGCCCAGCAAUGGGAGCGGCAGACGGGAUAGUAACACGUGGGAACGUACCCUUCAGUUCGGAACAACCAAGGGAAACUUUGGCUAAUACCGGAUACGUCCGUAAGGAGAAAGAUUUAUCGCUGAAGGAUCGGCCCGCGUCUGAUUAGCUUGUUGGUGAGGUAACGGCUCACCAAGGCGACGAUCAGUAGCUGGUCUGAGAGGAUGAUCAGCAUCACUGGGACUGAGACACGGCCCAGACUCCUACGGGAGGCAGCAGUGGGGAAUAUUGGACAAUGGGCGCAAGCCUGAUCCAGCCAUGCCGCGUGGAUGAUGAAGGCCCUAGGGUUGUAAAGUCCUUUCGACGGGGAAGAUAAUGACGGUACCCGUAGAAGAAGCCCCGGCUAACUUCGUGCCAGCAGCCGCGGUAAUACGAAGGGGGCUAGCGUUGCUCGGAAUCACUGGGCGUAAAGCGCACGUAGGCGGCUUUUUAAGCCAGGGGUGAAAUCCUGGAGCUCAACUCCAGAACUGCCUUUGAUACUGAGAAGCUUGAGUCCGGGAGAGGUGAGUGGAACUGCGAGUGU
rnacentral:rRNA from 1 species